rnacentral:rRNA from 1 species
UACACUCCUACGGGAGGCAGCAGUGGGGAAUAUUGCACAAUGGGCGCAAGCCUGAUGCAGCCAUGCCGCGUGUAUGAAGAAGGCCUUCGGGUUGUAAAGUACUUUCAGCGGGGAGGAAGGUGUUGAGGUUAAUAACCUCAGCAAUUGACGUUACCCGCAGAAGAAGCACCGGCUAACUCCGUGCCAGCAGCCGCGGUAAUACGGAGGGUGCAAGCGUUAAUCGGAAUUACUGGGCGUAAAGCGCACGCAGGCGGUCUGUCAAGUCGGAUGUGAAAUCCCCGGGCUCAACCUGGGAACUGCAUUCGAAACUGGCAGGCUAGAGUCUUGUAGAGGGGGGUAGAAUUCCAGGUGUAGCGGUGAAAUGCGUAGAGAUCUGGAGGAAUACCGGUGGCGAAGGCGGCCCCCUGGACAAAGACUGACGCUCAGGUGCGAAAGCGUGGGGAGCAAACAGGAUUAGAUACCCCGGUAGUCCC